rnacentral:rRNA from 1 species
AACGAACGCUGGCGGCAUGCCUAACACAUGCAAGUCGAACGAGACCUUCGGGUCUAGUGGCGCACGGGUGCGUAACGCGUGGGAACCUGCCCUUAGGUUCGGAAUAACUCCCCGAAAGGGGUGCUAAUACCGGAUAAUGUCUUCGGACCAAAGAUUUAUCGCCUUUGGAUGGGCCCGCGUUGGAUUAGCUAGUUGGUAGGGUAAAAGCCUACCAAGGCGACGAUCCAUAGCUGGUCUGAGAGGAUGAUCAGCCACACUGGGACUGAGACACGGCCCAGACUCCUACGGGAGGCAGCAGUGGGGAAUAUUGGACGAGGGGCGAAAGCCUGAUCCAGCAAUGCCGCGUGAGUGAUGAAGGCCUUAGGGGUGGAAAGCUCUUUUACCCGGGAUGAUAAUGACAGUACCGGGAGAAUAAGCUCCGGCUAACUCCGUG